AGUGAACGCUGGCGGCAGGCCUAACACAUGCAAGUCGAGCGGCAGCGCGUCCGACCACCCUCGGGUGGUCGGAUGGCGGCGAGCGGCGGACGGGUGAGGAAUGCAUCGGAAUCUGCCUCGUUGUGGGGGAUAACGUAGGGAAACUUACGCUAAUACCGCAUACGACCUACGGGUGAAAGUGGGGGACCUUCGGGCCUCACGCGAUGAGAUGAGCCGAUGCCGGAUUAGCUAGUUGGCGGGGUAAAGGCCCACCAAGGCGACGAUCCGUAGCUGGU
rnacentral:rRNA from 1 species